UGUGAUAUUCUUCUCUUUUUAAUCUUGUUCAUAUGGAGAGAAACUCAUAUUUGGUAUGUGAGAGUUGGUUUCAUGAUCCAUCCGAAAGCAAGUAGCUAUUACGUUUGGCACAGGAUAUGUGAUGAACUGUGCAAUGAAUUCUGGUCUAGUUGGGAAGGUCUGUACAAAUUAAAGUCGGUGUUACCACAUUAAUAUGAGUUAUGCAUUUCCAAAUAUGUGUUCAGAUUGUCCUAUGGGUUCUUAUUCACUGUGUCUCAAUUCUUCAUGCUCCUAAACAGGGAGGAAAAUUGCCUUUUGGAUUCCUUGAUUUUCCAACACAAGGAUCUGGUGCAACAGUCCAGAUUUUUCCAACACAACAUCCGGAGAGGCGAAGGAAAUUGCCGAGGGAGAGCCUCCGCCUGAAAAGGAUACUUGUUAUUUGUCAAGCAGAUGUAUAGCACGGAAGGGAAGCUUUUGCAAACUUCCGGGAACAUGCGUAUCUGCAAGAAAUACAAGAUUGCAUGUAGUUGAGGCCCAUAGGGUAUCUCUAUGCCACUUCAAUGUCACCUCCUGUUGUUCUACAAGCUCUAUCUGCAAGUAAGAUUGUUCUUGUUCUAACAUCCCAACUUGAUCAGCACUCUUUUUAACUGGCCAUAAAAAAGUAGUAUGUACAUACACAAAUAAAAAGAAACAUAUAUAUAUGUAUAUGUUUCUCCAUGUGUAUGUAUACAUAUGUAUAAUAGUACACUGUUCCAAGCUAGGCUGUUACAGUCACACAACUGGAGAAUUGAUUUUAAGGUAGUUAUAGAAAACACCUCUGAUUUUUGACUUGUUUCAAAAGCACUUUGAAAGUUCUGCUAUAUCAUCAUGGUAGUAACAUAAGGGGUGAACAUAUAAAGGGAGUUCAAUAGUAGCAUAAGGCAACCAUGAACGUUAAGGCAAUGUCUAAACAGAGGAGAGAACAGGGUGGAUAAUGUCUCCUUGGCAUGAUUCUUGGGAGGUAAAGGGCAAGGGAAUAGUAUUCCUUUUGUGUAUAUAUGGCAGGCUCUUUUGUAACAUUCUCUUAUAAAAGCUGUAGUUUUGCAGUAAGUUUUAUAGUGCCACUGUACAUUUUGAUAGUCAUUAAUCCAUCAAACCGGAGCCGGGAAAUCAUUUAUCUACCAUAGAUGAAGCUCCUCAACAUAUCUUAGAUUUGCUAGGCCCAUCAGCUUAGUUUCAUCGUUAAUGUUAUAAUAAUGCCCGCCGGUGUUUGGCAUGUGACCAUAUUGUUCUUUUUCUCCUAAAUUUUCUGUCCUGAUGACAUUGGAUUUACUUAGGUUGGAGACAUUAUAACAGUGGAGUAAUCCUCUUCAGAUAUUGAAUUAGACAAGGGAGCUACAUUUCUCAAACUGGCAGAUGUAAACCUUAUGCUGGUGAAACAAGAUUGCAAUCUGUAGGAGCUGCAAGUAGAUGCUCUCACUUUUGGCUUGAUAGGUGAGGGGGAAUGAAUAGCUUUUCUGUAAUGAAUAAAUAGUGUUAGAAUCUCAUAGAUAUGAGUCUUGAAAGCUUCCUAGUCCUCGGUACUAUCAAGUGAUGUAUCACUUUCAUCUCACAACUUGUCCAUCAAACCAGCAUUGAUAAACAAGGACAAUAAUAAUACGUUUUUUUCUUCUUAAAAGAAGAACAAGAAGAGUCAGUAUUAAGUGAAAUCUGGUCUAACUUGAGAAGGUGGAUUGAUUGUGACCUCUUUUUGAGUCCAAGAACAGUAAUUUUUAAGGUAAAUAAAUUUAAGAUUUUUUUCAGAAAAAAAAGUAUAUAAGAUUUCUUAACUUGGAUUUCCUCAAUGGUUUAUCUGUGAUAAGAUAUGAGAAAAGUGACUAGUGACAAGGGUAUCUCUCUGCAAUAAGGCUUUGUUCCUGGAUGACAUUGCCAAGCUAUGAGAGCUUCUGAGGAUAGGUCAGAUGCACAAGCCUGCUUGCCCAAAAACACUUGCAUAUAACAUGAGACUGCAACAGAGAGAAAAAAAAAUAGAGAAGGAAAGAAGAAUAAAAACAAUAAGAGAGAGAGAGAGAG